rnacentral:tRNA from 1 species
GCCCCUUUGGUCCAGUUAAGAUGAGGGCUUUUCAAGCCCUAGAGCUAAGUGAAACCCUUAGAAGGAGCA